rnacentral:lncRNA from 1 species
UGCAUCAAUCCCAAAACAGAAGAUGCCGUCACGGGAGGAAACUCCCCCAAAACUAAGUUUUUUAGUAGAAAGGAGAGUGUACUUUAUCUGCGUAGAAGUAAUAGUGGAGAGAUUGUUGUUGAAAAGAGAAGACAUUAAAAAAUCAGAUAGAAGGAACUUACGAAAGUAGUAGGGCACAGGAGUUAGGAUGAGGUGGAGGCGGUCGUGAAGUGUGGUUGACAAUCGAAA